AACACGUUCUCUUGCAUAUAAUGUUAUGUAAGUGAAAAUUCCAUAUCGCAGCUUCCGAUAGAAAUAUCGGAAUGAUCUCAAGGUGAAUUGCUGGAAGCCCUCGCGCAAGCAAGGUAAUCAGCAGCCAAGCUUUGUUCGAAAGAGCAUUGAAGGUUCAGAGACUAUCCCUAACGGGAGUACAAUUUAUCGUCUGAUAAAUUGGAAGCGCCUUGCAUCCUCGCUCGCAAGAGACGGAUGAAGAUAUAGUCCACGCCGUCGGGAAACCGAUGG
rnacentral:ncRNA from 1 species